UGAAGUGAAAGGCAGUGGNUCAACCAUUGUAGGCUUUGGAAACUGUUUAACUUGAGUGCAGAAGGGGAGAGUGGAAUUCCAUGUGUAGCGGUGAAAUGCGUAGAUAUAUGGAGGAACACCGGUGGCGAAAGCGGCUCUCUGGUCUGUAACUGACGCUGAGGCUCGAAAGCGUGGGGAGCGAACAGGAUUAGAUACCCUGGUAGUCCACGCCGUAAACGAUGAGUGCUAGGUGUUAGGUCCUUUCCGGGACUUAGUGCCGCAGCUAACGCAUUAAGCACUCCGCCUGGGGAGUACGACCGCAAGGUUGAAACUCAAAGGAAUUGACGGGGGCCCGCACAAGCGGUGGAGCAUGUGGUUUAAUUCGAAGCAACGCGAAGAACCUUACCAGGUCUUGACAUCCCGAUGCUAUUUCUAGAGAUAGGAAGUUUCUUCGGAACAUCGGUGACAGGUGGUGCAUGGUUGUCGUCAGCUCGUGUCGUGAGAUGUUGGGUUAAGUCCCGCAACGAGCGCAACCCUUAUUGUUAGUUGCCAUCAUUGAGUUGGGCACUCUAGCGAGACUGCCGGUAAUAAACCGGAGGAAGGUGGGGAUGACGUCAAAUCAUCAUGCCCCUUAUGACCUGGGCUACACACGUGCUACAAUGGCUGGUACAACGAGUCGCAAGCCGGUGACGGCAAGCUAAUCUCUGAAAGCCAGUCUCAGUUCGGAUUGUAGGCUGCAACUCGCCUACAUGAAGUCGGAAUCGCUAGUAAUCGCGGAUCAGCACGCCGCGGUGAAUACGUUCCCGGGCCUUGUACACNCCGCCCGUCACACCACGAGAGUUNGUAACACCC
rnacentral:rRNA from 1 species